UUUCUGUUCUGGAAGACCCUGGACUUGAGCCUGCCGAAGGCAGCAGAGGCCAGAGCAAUGCAAAGCUGGGUGUCAUCGUCGAUGUUGCAGGAGGGGGACAGAAUGCUACUGAGACAUGAACCCGAUGAGCCCGCAGACCUCCCUCCACCACCAGCUGGGGAAAAUGCCAUUGCGCUCAGGAGAAGAUGCCAGCUGAUACACUGACUAUUCAACAAGAUGGUUUUGGACAGCACCUUGCCAUAACCCGAGACAGAAGUGGACUUCGGAGUGGGCAUAGGGGAUUCCUCCUGAGUGGUAGUGACGUCCUUCUCCUUUACUGCGAUCCAGUGCGGACAUGGUGGACUCUUGAUCUGCCGUUUCAUCUAUAUAAAUAAAAA